GACGAACGCUGGCGGCGUGCUUAACACAUGCAAGUCGAACGGAAAGGCGCUGCUUUUGUGGGGUGCUCGAGUGGCGAACGGGUGAGUAACACGUGAGUAACCUGCCCUUGACUUUGGGAUAACUUCAGGAAACUGGGGCUAAUACCGGAUAGGAGCUCCUGCUGCAUGGUGGGGGUUGGAAAGUUUCGGCGGUUGGGGAUGGUCUCGCGGCUUAUCAGCUUGUUGGUGGGGUAGUGGCUUACCAAGGCUUUGAAGGGUAGCCGGCCUGAGAGGGUGACCGGCCACAUUGGGACUGAGAUACGGCCCAGACUCCUACGGGAGGCAGCAGUGGGGAAUAUUGCACAAUGGGCGGAAGCCUGAUGCAGCAACGCCGCGUGCGGGAUGACGGCCUUCGGGUUGUAAACCGCUUUCGCCUGUGACGAAGCGUGAGUGACGGUAAUGGGUAAAGAAGCACCGGCUAACUACGUG
rnacentral:rRNA from 1 species